rnacentral:lncRNA from 8 species
AUGAUUCAGCCAGCACUUCUACUCCUGCUACUGGCAGCCAUGUCCUCACCAGAGUUUGGGACUGAGAUAUCAGUACUAGAGGGAACCUCUGUUACCCUUGUCUGCACAUUCCUUGGGGAUAUAAAGCUUGAGACAUGCUGGGACAGGACUUGUGGAAGUUUUCAGUGUACUGAUCCCAGAAUGGAAGAUCAGUCCAAAUAUAAAAUUAACGCUCAAGUUGGAACAGCGAAUCUCACCAUUUUAAAGCUACAGCCAANNNNNNNNNNNNNNNNNNNNNNNNNNNNNNNNNNNNNNNNNNNNNNNNNNAAUGAAGUUGAGACUGACUAAAGGUCAAAUCUAAUACUGGAACAAAGCUUGUGAGUUUUAUUUAUACCUAUUAUGCAUAUCAUAGACAAUGUGGGAAUCAAUAGAUUUAAAUCUCCAUCACGUAUUUUACUUCAACUUACAUUAUACAUUUAACUGCUAUUUUCAAAGUGCGUGUUCAGUUAUUCAAAGUUAAUGCCAUGUAGCUGUUCCAUAGAGUAACUGCAAUAUUACUUUGGUAGUCAAAUCACCUUAUCAUAGCUUCCUUGUCGUUUUGUUUCCCUUGAAAGGUACAGCACUGCCUGUGUACUCUCAGAAGGAAAUUGUGCACAUUAGUUCAGACUUAUUGAAAUGAACAAAAUGUGGAAAAAGUCAAGGUGUCUGAAUACUUUCCGAAUGCACUCUAUCUUGAUUAUAUCAAUACGUAUUAAAGCCACUACGUCAAUACAUGUUAGAAUCACCUUUUGCAGUGAUUACAGCUCUGAGUCUUUCUGCGUAAGUCUCUAUCCACACAUGGAAUGUGCAACAUUUGCCCAUUAUUAUUUAACAAAUUCUGAAAUUCUUUGUUGAUCAUUGCUAGACAACCAUUUUCAGGUCUUGCAGUACAUUUUCAAGUAGAUUUAAGAGAAAACUGGCAACUCAGGAACAUUCACUGUCUUCUUGGUAAGCAACUCUAGUGUAGAUUUGGCCUUGUGUUUUAGGUUAUUGUCCUGCCGAAAGAUGAGUUAAUCUCCCAGUGUCUGGUGGAAAGUAGAAUGAACAAGGUUUUCCUCUAGGAUUUUGCCUGUGCUUAGCUCCAUUCCGUUUAUUUUUUGUCCUGAAAAACUUCCCAGUCCUUACCGUUUACAAGCAUACUCAUAACAUGAUGCAGCCACUACUAUGCUUGAAAAUAUGGAGAGUGGUACUCAGUAACGUGUUUUAUUGGAUUUGCCCAAAACAUAACACUUUGUAAUCAGGAACAAACGUUUGCAACAAUACUUUAGUGCAUGUUUUAGAAUAUUUUCAUUCUGUACAGGCUUCCUUCUUUUCACUCUGUCAAUUAGGUUAGUAUUGUGGAGUAACUACAAUGUUGUUGGUCCAUCCUCAGUGUUUUCCUAUUACAUCCAUUAAACUCUGUAAGUGUUUUAAAGUCAUCAUUGGACAAUCCCUGGGCGGUUUCCAUUCAAUGUCUGCUUUAAAAAUGUGUACCCAUCUAUCAAUUGGUGCCUUUCUUGGCAAGGCAUUGGAAAACCUCCCAGGUCUUUGUGGUUGAAUCUAUGUUUGAAAUGUACUGUACUGCUCGAUUGAGGGGCUACUUUGGUAGUCAAAUCACCUUAUCAUCACUUUGUCAUUUUGUUUAACUGGAAAGGUACAACACUGCUUGUUAACUCUCAGAAGGAAAUUGUGCACAUUAGUUCAGACAUUGAAAAAAAACUUAGACAAAGACAAUUCUUUCUUAGAUAUUUUUCUUCCACAUGAAAUCUUUCAAACAGGUCUGGAUUGAUAAAUGAUUGUGUUUUAACAUCUGUUCACAACAACAAUGCUUCUCUUGAGUUACAAUAUAAGGGUUGGGAGCAUUAAACCAUAAUCUCUUCACAGUGGCCAUGAUUCAGCCAGCACUUCUACUCCUGCUACUGGGUAAGAGAUCAGAUGGGAUGAAUAUUCCUCUCUUGGUAUUAUAAACCAACCUGCUAUGACUUAUCUAGUUGACCAUGUAUUCAAAGUAGUUGGGUAGUGGUUCAGAACCUGUCAACAUCUAUUUAUGUACAAUGAGCUUCAGUUUAACCAACAUUUAAGAUGACAUCUACAGAACUCUCUUCUUGAGUUGACACAGUAUUUUAGUACAGUGAUUAUGAAGUUGAAAUGCUAAUCCUAAGGUUGAUGUCGGUGUCACAAUCUAAACAGAGAAAGAGACUGACCAACCCAAAAAUAACAUCUUUCUGAUGUGA